AAUAAACGAAGGGAAUCCUGGCUAUUUUCUCUAUUAGUUUUUAUUCUUUAGGAGCUGUCCCAAUUAACUGGAAUCUACCAUGUAUUAUUUAAUUUUGCUUGAAGAUGGGUAAGAACAGUCCCCAGUUCAAGAAGAUGGGGAGAAAUGGAG